CAACACAAACAAAUAUACAUUUGCCUUUUUUUAGAUUUUGGAUGUCUGCUACAACUGCACACGCGUAAGAUGAGAAGGGUGUCGUAGAUUCUAGAAACCACGCCUCCUCUCAUCCAUAAUCUUCCUCAUUUUUGUGCUUCCGCUUUGCCUUCUCCGACACAUUUCGGUAUCGAAAAAGUGAUAUUCGCAGAUUGAUCGAGCAAUCUCAGCUAAUCCAUUUCUCCGAGUUCGAACACGAUCAUUACAUGUGCUACGUUGAAGUCAAAAUUUGGGCGAUCUUAGUAGAUUGACCCAAUCAUUGCAGCAGUGUAUCAUAUAUCUACAAACCCAAAAUCAACCCAGAACGACUACAGACGGAAGACUGGGAGAUCUACGAAAAACUAAUUGUGGAAAGACCGAACUCAUGCAUGUCAGAUCUUGAGUACAGUCAGAUCUGUAAGAUUUGAAACAGAGAGCUGGACAUUCACAGGCUGAGUAACAAUACUUAUGAUAAUGCAUGCUCUAAUGUUUCGAUCUCCACUCACAAUAGGUGGUUCGAGCUCGUAGGUUCGAGAGGGAGAGCUCCGAGUUAGACUAGUUAGAAUGAUGUUGUAGUCUAAACUCGUUUGAUGAAUUGUAGUAAACUUAUGUUUUGAUGGUGUUGAACACCAAGGUUGUAUCCCCUAGAUUCUCGAUUUUAGUUGGACUUGUUUGUUAGUUUUACCCUAGCCUGUGCAAUCACCGUGAAGGGUGUUUGUGGCGGUGACGCUCCCUUAAAGUUAAUUUAUUAAGUUUAUUUCCGCUGUUUAGUUUA